rnacentral:lncRNA from 1 species
GGAGCUCGAGCUCUUGGGACUGCCAGGCUCCCCAGAGUAGCAGAUGAACAUGAACAUGAACACGAACAUGAUAUAGGAACAACUAACUUCUUUCUUGCUUUCCCAAAUGAUCUGCUCUUGGUAUGUAUAGGGCCAAUCAAGAUUACAAAGGUAUAUUCUUUCUUGCUUUCCCAAAUGAUCUGCUCUUGGUAUGUAUAGGGCCAAUCAAGAUUACAAAGGCAUAUGUCGUUUUUCCAAUAUAAAUGAAAAUUUGGGAAUUUUUUUUAUUUUCUUUAAUUUUAGUAGAAUCGUACAAUGAAUCGAUGCCUAAUUUACCUAUGACUGAACAAAAAGAGAUCACAUGUAAUAAAUGCACAUAAUAUAAAAAACAUUCUAAAGGAAUCUACUUCAUUCCUACUUUAAAUUAUAGCCUAAUUGAUCAUACCACCCAAUGAGUCGAUCUUUUUAAAAGAACUACUAAUCAGAUUCACCAAAUUUGCACAAAUUGACACAUAAUAGCAGGAUCAACAAUGAGCAAAUACCAAUCCACCUCCACCAUGUGAUUCCAUACCAUCCGACAAUGAGUGAAAGACAAUAAGAAUAUUGACCUGCCCCUACUGUUGCACCCAUCAAUCUUCCCUUCGUCGAUUCACCUUCCACCAGAUCCUAGACAGGCUCCAGCAAUCUUCCCUUCCCUCAGCAGCCAUCCUUGAUCCCCUCCUCUCUACUGCUGAGAUCUGAGAAGAACUCAGGAACCCUAACAACACCACGUGAGAUGAAACUCAGGACAAGGAGGGGGGAGGGAGGAGGAGGAGGAGGAGAGGAGUGUCAGGAACAAUUGCAUUUCCUCUUUCAGUUCAUCAGUUAAGCAAGAUAGAGCAAUUCAGCACCCUUCAAAAUGGUCCAGUGACUUCAGCGAUGCCAUCUGUCAGCCACCUGACACUCGUCAUCGAUUCACGCAGCUACACUAUGUUCUUACCCCUUUUCAGACAUGUAAUAGUAAAUGCCUGCUGUAAACAAGCUUUUACUUUACUUCUUGAGCCUGUUAUUUAUCUUGGGGGACAUCAUCUAUAAGGGUUACCGAAGGAGAUGAACUCGUAAACCUAGGUUA